UACGGGGGGAGCAAGCGUUGUUCGGAUUUACUGGGCGUAAAGGGCGCGUAGGCGGUCAGUGCAAGUCAGUUGUGAAAUCUCCGGGCUUAACUCGGAAAGGUCAACUGAUACUGCUCGACUAGAGUGCGGAAGGGGCAACUGGAAUUCUUGGUGAAGCGGUGAAAUGCGUAGAUAUCAAGAGGAACACCUGCGGCGAAGGCGGGUUGCUGGGCCGACACUGACGCUGAGGCACGAAAGCGUGGGGAGCAAACAGG
rnacentral:rRNA from 1 species